CGGGUGAGUAACGCGUGGAUAACCUGCCUUACACUGGGGGAUAACACUUAGAAAUAGGUGCUAAUACCGCAUAAGCGCACAGAGCCGCAUGGCUCAGUGUGAAAAACUCCGGUGGUGUAAGAUGGAUCCGCGUCUGAUUAGCUGGUUGGCGGGGUAGAAGCCCACCAAGGCGACGAUCAGUAGCCGGCCUGAGAGGGUGAACGGCCACAUUGGGACUGAGACACGGCCCAAACUCCUACGGAAGGCAGCAG
rnacentral:rRNA from 1 species